rnacentral:rRNA from 1 species
GUGGGGAAUAUUGGACAAUGGGCGAAAGCCUGAUCCAGCCAUGCCGCGUGUGUGAAGAAGGUCUUCGGAUUGUAAAGCACUUUAAGUUGGGAGGAAGGGCAGUAAGUUAAUACCUUGCUGUUUUGACGUUACCGACAGAAUAAGCACCGGCUAACUUCGUGCCAGCAGCCGCGGUAAUACGAAGGGUGCAAGCGUUAAUCGGAAUUACUGGGCGUAAAGCGCGCGUAGGUGGUGUUGGAAGUUGGAGGUGAAAUCCCCGGGCUCAACCUGGGAAAUGCAUCAAAAACUGCAUGACUAGAGUACGGUAGAGGGUAGUGGAAUUUCCUGUGUAGCGGUGAAAUGCGUAGAUAUAGGAAGGAACACCAGUGGCGAAGGCGACUACCUGGACUGAUACUGACACUGAGGUGCGAAAGCGUGGGGAGCAAACAGGAUUAGAUACCCGAGUAGUCC